GGGGCCAUGAUGCAAUGGCACCCCCUUACUACUUUGCCUGAUGGACCAACCCAGCGAAGGUGGACCAUUCUCCACCCUGCUAACACAGCAGCAGCAGUGAUCCCUGGUAGGCCUAAGUACCUUACUGGGCAGAGAGUGACUAUCCUGGAGUCCUAGGAGCAGCUAGAUCAGGGAAGUCCAAAGCAUGGCCCAAGGACUGCAUGUGGCUGUUGAGGACUUUUGGCAGCUCUCCACAACAUUUGACACCUCUCUCUUUGCCUUCCCAAAGCCUGGUAAGCAAGGUGCUGGGCUUUGGGAAGGAGGUGUGAGAGCUUUGACAGGGUCCUUGAGUCCUCCUGCAUCCUUCCCGAAGCCUAGUUAGCACCUUGCCAGCUUUAGGAAGGAGUUGGGAGGGCUGUAGGACACUGCCAGAGGCUUGCAACUCCUCCCCAAAUCCCGGCUCCUCGCUUAGCCAGCUUUGGGAAGGCUGGGCGGGGUGUCAAGUUUUGGCCUCGCUUCCCCACACAUGACAGGUUGGUGCGCAGCCCACAGGUUCUGUGUCAAAAGUACUGUUGUGGGCCACUUGGUAUGAAAAGUUAGACUGGUCUGAGCUAGAUCCUUGCCCACCACUAUAGAGUCUCAUGCUGAGGCCAGCUGGAAACAGGGUGGAGCCCAGGAUGUGGAGAAAGAAUCCUUCCCAGCCAACCCUGGCAACAUGAGGCACAGUUAUACAUCUCUCCUUAAAGAGCAUUCAGAAUGGAUUGAGUUUUGAGAGUAAAAGAUGGUGUUCAUGAGGUGGCCCCUGCUCAGCCCAGCGAGGCUCAUGGGGCUAGUCCCAGUUGUCCUGUCCCUUGUAGCUUCAUCCCCACACAAGGGAGGCCAUUACCUGUUGCAUAACUCCUUGUCACAAAGCUUGCAGAGGGUUAAGGACCCUUUCUUGAACAAGUAGGUUGGCAACUCCCCAAGGGAUCAGGGAGCAUCGCUGGCAGACAAACAAUGGUGACCUCCCUGGUGGCCUGUGUAGGGCUGGGUGUCAGGUGGGGAGCAAAGGGGGAGGCGGAGAGAGAGAGAAACAUUCAGUGGGCGACAACUGGCAGGUAUGGCUUCUGGACCUGGUUGCACAAUGGAUGCCUGGAAAGAAGGGAGAGUGGGACCACGUGGCUGCUCUGCCAGUAAAUUCCCCUCAGCUGCCACUUUUCUCCCCAGUCCACCCUGGCAUGAUGGUGAGGGACAGUCUGCAGUGACUGAGGCUUUCCCUGUGGUGAGUUUGUUCUGCUCCAUACAUCUAGGCUGUGAUCCUGCAAGGCUUGCUGUAAUCUUGUGCUUUGGGCUGUUCUGUGGGGCAGGAAGAACUGGCGGCUUUCCCAAAGUAAAGCUCAGGCUGCUAAGUGGCCUGAGAGGAGCUAGACUGUAGCCCAUCUCGGAUCAGAGGGCUGAAGCUUAAAAGCAAAGUGAAGCUUUUUUGCACCACUUUGGGAAUUGACAAGGCUCAUUGGAACCUGCAGCAUGUGAUACAGUCAGCAGUCCUAUUGAGCAACUUCCGAUCUUAGUCCCAGGAGCAUGACAUGCAGAUUUAUCAUCCUGGCCCUGCUUGAGUCUCCCAGCCCACUGCCUCUUCUUUUGGAAAGAAGAAUCUGCAGACAACACAUUUUUUUAAUGCAGGCACUUUUAACCAUAUAUGUAGUUGUUCACUCCGCCAUGAUCCGUUUGAAUGUGUGUACAUUUUUAAAGUUAUUUUGUCUAAAUCUAUAUAUUAUCUCAUUUACUGUAUGAGUCUAAAAGCCACUGUCAGGAUUAAGAGAAAUGUGAUGGUCAAUAUAUCAAGUUUUGUUAUGGGCGGUGCUUUUUUUCUGGGGGGAAGCAGGGAUAUGCAUACCCCUAAACAUUUUGUGAAUCUAAGUUUGGCCUCAUUGAGGGGCAGUAUUUCAAUAUGAGUAGGAAAAUGAGAGUGCCCCUAAACAUUUUUUUAAGAAAAAAAAAGCACUGGUUAUUGGUAACAGACUGCACUGUACUCAGGCCAGUUCCAGCCAAGUCCCAUGCAUUUUUUUGGAAGAAAGUCUUGGUGUGCAUAGGAUUCUAGGCUGAUUCUGCAUAUAUAAAGUCUAGCUGGCGCUGAGUUUGCUCCUAUUUGGCAAAACAAUGCUUUCCAAGUACAGUGGUACCUCUGGUUGCGGAUGGGAUCUAUUCUGGAGGUCUGGCCAGGUACGAGGUUUUCACAACCAGAAAGACCGCUUCUGUGCACACAUGCACGGCGGAAGAGCGCUUCUGUUCAUGCACAGAAGUAGUUACUGCUACUGCACAUGUGGCAGAAACCCGGAAAUAUACUUCCGGGUUUGCUGCUUACGUAUCCCGAAGUUUACGUAACCGGAGGGAUACAUACGCGGAGGUACGACUGUAUGUCUAUAGAGUGUUUCUCAAGUAUGUCACAUGCAUUUUCUUGCAAUUUUCAUAAAAUAGAAUACAUAGACCUGUGUUGUUAUUCUGGUAUUGCUGAUGUGGGGAGAGAAUUGUUUUCUUAAGUAAGCACAUGGAAGAAGCAAUAUCUGAAUGGGGAGCCUUAACGCAUAGCUAAGAAACUCUUCGCCACUAUGCUAUUUGAGAACUCUCUCUAAUAAAAACCAAUUUUUC
rnacentral:lncRNA from 1 species